CAACAACAUCAAAAUGUGUCUGUGGAUC
rnacentral:sRNA from 1 species